AAGAUUUUAAGUUAAUUAAACUAUAAACCUUCAAAGUUUAAAAUAUAUAUUAAAUAUCAAUUAUAAAUCUUA
rnacentral:tRNA from 1 species